rnacentral:rRNA from 1 species
UACGUAUGUUCCAAGCGUUAUCCGGAUUUAUUGGGCGUAAAGCGAGCGCAGACGGUUAUUUAAGUCCGAAGUGAAAGCCCACAGCUUAACUGUGGAAGUGCUUUGGAAACUGGAUAACUUGAGUGCAGUAGAGGAGAGUGGAACUCCAUGUGUAGCGGUGAAAUGCGUAGAUAUAUGGAAGAACACCAGUGGCGAAGGCGGCUCUCUGGACUGUAACUGACGUUGAGGCUCGAAAGUGUGGGUAGCAAACA